GAUGAACGCUGGCGGCGUGCCUAAUACAUGCAAGUCGAGCGAACAGAUGAGGAGCUUGCUCCUCUGACGUUAGCGGCGGACGGGUGAGUAACACGUGGAUAACCUACCUAUAAGACUGGGAUAACUUCGGGAAACCGGAGCUAAUACCGGAUAAUAUAUUGAACCGCAUGGUUCAAUAGUGAAAGACGGUUUUGCUGUCACUUAUAGAUGGAUCCGCGCCGCAUUAGCUAGUUGGUAAGGUAACGGCUUACCAAGGCAACGAUGCGUAGCCGACCUGAGAGGGUGGUCGGCCACACUGGAACUGAGACACGGUCCAGACUCCUACGGGAGGCAGCAGUAGGGAAUCUUCCGCAAUGGGCGAAAGCCUGACGGAGCAACGCCGCGUGAGUGAUGAAGGUCUUCGGAUCGUAAAGCUCUGUUAUUAGUGGAGAACAAAUGUGUAAGUAACUAUGCACGUCUUGACGGUACCUAAUCAGAAAGCCACGGCUAACUACGUG
rnacentral:rRNA from 1 species